AAUCAUCUUCAGUGCAGUUUUUCUUCUCGGCUCCCCAGCUGCGUGCCUUUCCGUCCUGUAACUCAGCCCACGGGUGCAGCACCAGCGGGAUGCCACAGCGUCUCCCUCUUCCACAUGCUCUGCUGUCUCAUGUUUUAGCCCUUAUCUAGAAUACACAGAGCUCUUGCCCUGCAUAAUCGUUAUACUAAAUACUGGUGUGUGUUUUUUUUUUUUUAUCUCUGUUGAAAAAGUAGGUAUUGCCCUGUAUCUGUAGGGAAAUACUCCCCAUGUGCUUGCUACCCCUAACACCCAAACAUCUCUGACUUUGAAAGCUGGGUGCUGGCAUAAAGUGAGCCCGAUUUCUACCCCAUCGGUAGAGAGGAGGGGAGCUGUGCUGCCUUCAUCGUGGCGGUAUUAAAAUGUGCUGAAAACUGAACGUUGCAAACCUGAUGUGCAGCAUCAAGGCAGCUCAACUGCUCUGCCUGUCUGUGUGCCCCCUCUGCAGCUACAGAUCUGAGGAUACCAUGAGGAAGAAGUAUCAAGUGAACUUUAACUUGAGGGUUGCCUGGACAGGGACGCCUGGGACAACUGAUGCUGUGCGAUAAGAGACAUGAUAUUAAAAAUAUGUUUAAAACAUGA